rnacentral:rRNA from 1 species
GGCUCAGAUUGAACGCUGGCGGCAGGCCUAACACAUGCAAGUCGAGCGGAUGACAGGAGCUUGCUCCUGAAUUCAGCGGCGGACGGGUGAGUAAUGCCUAGGAAUCUGCCUGGUAGUGGGGGACAACGUUUCGAAAGGAACGCUAAUACCGCAUACGUCCUACGGGAGAAAGCAGGGGACCUUCGGGCCUUGCGCUAUCAGAUGAGCCUAGGUCGGAUUAGCUAGUUGGUGAGGUAAUGGCUCACCAAGGCGACGAUCCGUAACUGGUCUGAGAGGAUGAUCAGUCACACUGGAACUGAGACACGGUCCAGACUCCUACGGGAGGCAGCAGUGGGGAAUAUUGGACAAUGGGCGAAAGCCUGAUCCAGCCAUGCCGCGUGUGUGAAGAAGGUCUUCGGAUUGUAAAGCACUUUAAGUUGGGAGGAAGGGUUGUAGAUUAAUACUCUGCAAUUUUGACGUUACCGACAGAAUAAGCACCGGCUAACUCUGUGCCAGCAGCCGCGGUAAUACAGAGGGUGCAAGCGUUAAUCGGAAUUACUGGGCGUAAAGCGCGCGUAGGUGGUUCGUUAAGUUGGAUGUGAAAGCCCCGGGCUCAACCUGGGAACUGCAUUCAAAACUGACGAGCUAGAGUAUGGUAGAGGGUGGUGGAAUUUCCUGUGUAGCGGUGAAAUGCGUAGAUAUAGGAAGGAACACCAGUGGCGAAGGCGACCACCUGGACUGAUACUGACACUGAGGUGCGAAAGCGUGGGGAGCAAACAGGAUUAGAUACCCUGGUAGUCCACGCCGUAAACGAUGUCAACUAGCCGUUGGGAGCCUUGAGCUCUUAGUGGCGCAGCUAACGCAUUAAG